CCUACGGGAGGCAGCAGUGAGGAAUAUUGGUCAAUGGUCGCGAGCCUGAACCAGCCAAGUAGCGUGAGGGAGUACUGCCCUGCGGAUUGUAAACUUCUUUUGUAAAGGAAUAAAGUGAGGCACGUAUGCCUUUUUGUCUGUCCUUUGUGAAUAAGGAUCGGCUAACUCCGUGCCAUCAGCCGCGGUAAUCCGGAGGAGCCGAGCGUUAUGCGGUUUUAUUGGGUUUAACGUGGGCGUAGAUGGGUUGUGAAGGCAGCGGUGAAAGUUUGCGGCUCAACCGUCAAAUUGCAAUUGAUACUGGCAGGCUGGAGUACAGUUGAGGUAGGCGGAAUGCGUGGUGUAGCGGUGAAAUGCUUAGAUAUCACGAAGAACUCCGAUGGCGAAGGCAGCUUACUAAACUGCCACUGACAUUGAUGCUCGAAAGCGUGGGUAUCAAACAGGAUUAGAUACCCGGGUAGUC
rnacentral:rRNA from 1 species